rnacentral:rRNA from 1 species
CCUGGUUGAUCCUGCCAGUAGUCAUAUGCUUGUCUCAAAGAUUAAGCCAUGCAUGUCUAAGUAUAAACAACUUUAUACUGUAAAACUGCGAAUGGCUCAUUAAAUCAGUUAUAGUUUAUUUGAUAGUACCUUACUACUUGGAUAACCGUAGUAAUUCUAGAGCUAAUACAUGCGAAAAGACCCGACUUUUUGGAAGGGUUGCAUUUAUUAGAUACAAAACCAAUGGCCAGCAAUGGUCACACUUGGUGAUUCAUAAUAACUUUUGCGGAUCGCAUAGCUUUACGCUGGCGACGAAUCAUUCAAAUUUCUGCCCUAUCAACUUUCGAUGGUACGGUAUUGGCCUACCAUGGUUACAACGGGUAACGGGGAAUUAGGGUUCGGUUCCGGAGAGGGGGCCUGAGAAAUGGCCACCACAUCCAAGGAAGGCAGCAGGCGCGCAAAUUACCCAAUCCUGAUACAGGGAGGUAGUGACAAUAAAUAACAAUGCAGGACCUUUACGGGUUUUGUAAUUGGAAUGAGUACAAUUUAAAUCUCUUAACGAGUACCAAUUGGAGGGCAAGUCUGGUGCCAGCAGCCGCGGUAAUUCCAGCUCCAAUAGCGUAUAUUAAAGUUGUUGCAGUUAAAAAGCUCGUAGUUGAAUCUCGGAGUCCUUUUUUCUUCGGAAACGCCGAUGGUCGGAAACCCAGAGCCUCGAAAGGGGUGGAUGGGGCUGUUUACUUGAGGCAGGGCUCACAUCUGAGUUUCUCGAAGGUGGCCUCUGCUCUUCACUGGGUUGGGGGACUUUUUCACAUUCGAGACAUUUACUUUGAAAAAAUUAGAGUGUUCAAAGCAGGCAGUUUCGCUUGAAUACAUUAGCAUGGAAUAAUGGAAUAGGACUUUGGUCUUAUUUUGUUGGUUUCUAGGACUGAAGUAAUGAUUAAUAGGGACAGUUGGGGGCAUUAGUAUUUAAUUGUCAGAGGUGAAAUUCUUGGAUUUAUGAAAGACUAACUUCUGCGAAAGCAUUUGCCAAGGAUGUUUUCAUUAAUCAAGAACGAAAGUUAGGGGAUCGAAGACGAUUAGAUACCGUCGUAGUCCUAACCAUAAACUAUGCCGACUCGGGAUCGGUGAGCGUGUUUUUUUACUACCUCAUCAGCACCGUAGGAGAAAUCAAAGUUUUUGGGUUCUGGGGGGUGUAUGGUCGCAAGGCUGAAACUUAAAGGAAUUGACGGAAGGGCACACCAGGUUUGGAGCCUGCGGCUUAAUUUGACCCAACACGGGGAAACUCACCAGGUCCAGACAUCGUAAGGAUUGACAGAUUGAGAGCUCUUUCUUGAUUCGAUGGAAAGUGGUGCAUGGCUGUUCUUAGUUGGUGGAUUGCUCUGUCUGGUUCAUUCCGUUAACGAACGAGACCUUAACCUGCUAAAUAGUUAC